CCAGGAAGCGAGGGCCGAGUGUCAGAAGCUGCUGCUGAGUCACUCAAGAUGAAGACAGAACUCAUCACUGGAGUCACUCAGGCAGCCUUGGUGACCUUGAUAAAAAUAGUUUAGGUGGAGUAGGUGCCGGGUUGGAGCACAGGCUUGGUUGGAAUGGGGUUAAGGGAGGAUGUGAGCAGUAGAACAGGGUGCAGCCAACACAGACAACUACUUUGGAGAAGUUUUGCAAAAGGGAAGUAAAAAAUGGGCAGUGGUUGAUGAGGGGAGUGGAAUCAAAGAAAGUCUUGUUUGCUUUUUCAGUAGGAGAAAUGUAUUGUUUCUGAUGGGAACACCAGAUUUCUACAUACGUAUUUUGUAUUCUUUCCGAGGGUCUUAUAUACUUAUUCCAGAGCCAACACUGUACUUUUACCUACUGUGGCUUUAGAAUAUUGCUUUGAUAGGGUACUUGUUAUGGAAUAACAUGACAUUGUAAGGUAUGUCCCAUUGCUUUAUAGGCUAUUGCUGUGUGUUUUCUAGUCCAGUCAAUUUUUGAAUCAGCACGUCAAAUUCUAGAAAAAUUCUGCUGGAGAGUGGACCCUUGGCCACUGUUCAGGGCAAGGAGGGGCCUCCACGUCUGAGUUCGAGCAGCCCCCAUAGUGGCCAGAGUGUGAAAACUUUUCCCAAAGCAAACCCAGCUGAUCUACUAAACUCCUCCCCGGGCACCCUGGUUGGUAUCUUCUCAUCUUGGGCUCAUGACUUCGUUCGUCCUUUCCUCAGCUUCUUUACCUGCUAACAAAUACA
rnacentral:lncRNA from 10 species